AUAGGAUCUAACAAUAAAGAUGAAAAUGAAUUAAACAAAAGUGCAUUGCAUGUUAACAACAUCUGAAGAACUGAUUUGAAGAAUAAAUCACCUAUCCAUCAAAUACCAAGGACUUUUUGUGUAAUAGUCCCUAAUAAUUAUGCAUGAAGAUCAUGUGUGUAUUUUGAAGAGAUGAUUUUCAAAGCUGUGCGUAUAUACAAAUUGCAUGUUUAAAUACAUGCAUACAUUUAUAUAUUUAUAUGUUAUAUAUAUUCAGCCCUUAGCAUUAUAUAAUAUAAUGCCAAUUUAAUGUGUUUCGAUUUCACGACGUCAAAGUUUAUAUAUAAAUGUCCUGAUAAAUUGUAGAAUCAUAAAAGUUUUGAAUGUUUAAGAUAAUUUGUACAAAACUCCUCAUCUGUACAAGAGAUAGACAUUAAUGUACCGAGAACUGUCGAGAGUCAUUUUAAUGCCAUUCAUUUGUUUAGAAUGCAUCAUUGUCAUCAUCAUAGAUGUCAUCUUUCGUCCCUUACCAAACAAUGUUAAUAUUUGUGAAUCUUAUCAAUUAAUGACAGUGAAUGGAUUUUAUGCAAGCGAAUAGAUUUUUAGUAUUAAGCAUCCAUCCAUAGAGAAAUUAUGUAUCGGUUCUUUUUUUCAUUCAAAAGUAUUUAUAUUUGUGAAUAUGGGAGAUAAGUACAACACAGAAAAAGUAAUGGGUAAUUUUUCCUUUUAAGUUUGUUAGCGGUUGCUUACCCGGCGACUGAUCUUAAAAAUAUUGUGAAAUUGUCUAUUUAGAGAACAAUCAUCAUUAUUGUGUAUUUGAAGAUCAGUAGAGACAUUGUACAAUUUACAUCUGAUGUCACAUGUAAUUAUUGUCUGAUUACUUAUGCUUUUUUGUUACCCAUGUAGGUGUUAGAGGCCUGACGAGGUACUGAAUAAACAUCGCUCAAGCGAAAGCAGUAACAAUAUGUGGCUAACUCAGAAGAUGAAUGAAAUCCAGUUCUUCUGGUGUUGAAGUUGGCAGGCAUAACUGUUGUCUGGUUUAUCCUAUUCGGUAGAUCUGCCAGCAUCUAUGCAGAAACAUCCUCGUCGUUUUGUUUAGAGAAAGAUGAUUUUUUGGAGUAUUCUUACUCCACUUAGAAAAUAAUUGAUGGUGAGUAGUGAUUCUAAAGAAGAAACCAAAAGAAAGGAGAAUACUACUAUAGUUGUAUUUACAUAAGUGAUUCAAGAAAAAAUAAUUCUACUAGAAAAGUAACAGCUAAAAAAAACUGCCACCAAUUUCCAUGGAAAAAUUACCUUACAUAGUUUGUUUUCUCUCCUUAAUUUGAAUUGUUGAGUGGAUAGACUACCGAACGUUGGUUGUUGCUCACGUCUCGCCAAUCGGCUGGCUGCAUGGAGUAUUCUGGACUUUCAUCAUGAUUAUAACGCCUAAAUAGGGGCCAGUUUUCCUUAGAAAGCCUUUCUGAAAGUUGUCUCCCUUUGCAGAUCACCCACCAAACUGAAAACUUUCCUUAAUUUGCAAGUUUUAAAAUUUAACAAUAUUACGGUUAACAUAAAUCAUUUUAUUACACUAAAUAUAACAAUAUUGAUUCUUUUAAUAAUCUAUGUGAUCUGGAAUUGAAAUCAAAGAAGUAAGAUUAUAUCAGUUGUAUUUUCAUAUACAGCGAAAUCUCUGAACAGCAGCCACGGAAACAUAAAAAAAUUACCAUUAAUUGGAAGUUUUGUAUGCAUUUUUGUACACUGUAUCUGAAAAAACAGUUGCCACUUGAAAGUGGCCAUUGACUUUUGUCUUUUGAUUAUGCCAAAUUAUUAUUAUUUACACAAUUUGUGAGCCAUUGUUUACUUAUUAGAAUUAUCAAAAACUAGCUGUUACCCGCGACUUCGCCCGCGGAGGUUUUGCAAGCAAACCCCAUUUAUAUUCAGUAUUUCAACAACCAUAGUAAUUGUUAUAUAACACCUACCGCCGAGAGUGAUGAGAAUU